CUUCAUAAAGCCAAAGAUCUUUGCCAUUAUACAUUUAGUAUUUUUCCAAAGUUCUACACGUAGUUUCUGAUAUAACGAACAAUAAACUCACCAUCACGGAUACAAGUCAGACUUUAUGAUUCAAUGCUUUAUUGAAAGAAUUGAAGUGAACUGAAGUACUGUAGAUGUCAAAAUGAAAUGAUCUCCAAAAAUCCAAAGAUAUUUAUUUAAAAUGGGAUAUAUUUUAUUUUAAGAUGUGUUCCACAAUUCAUU